rnacentral:rRNA from 1 species
AACGAACGCUGGCGGCAUGCCUAACACAUGCAAGUCGAACGAGACCUUCGGGUCUAGUGGCGCACGGGUGCGUAACGCGUGGGAACCUGCCCUUAGGUUCGGAAUAACUCCCCGAAAGGGGUGCUAAUACCGGAUAAUGUCUUCGGACCAAAGAUUGAUCGCCUUUGGAUGGGCCCGCGUUGGAUUAGCUAGUUGGUAGGGUAAAAGCCUACCAAGGCGACGAUCCAUAGCUGGUCUGAGAGGAUGAUCAGCCACACUGGGACUGAGACACGGCCCAGACUCCUACGGGAGGCAGCAGUGGGGAAUAUUGGACAAUGGGCGAAAGCCUGAUCCAGCAAUGCCGCGUGAGUGAUGAAGGCCUUAGGGUUGUAAAGCUCUUUUACCCGGGAUGAUAAUGACAGUACCGGGAGAAUAAGCUCCGGCUAACUCCGU